GAGUUUGAUCUUGGCUCAGAGCGAACGCUGGCGGCAGGCUUAACACAUGCAAGUCGAGCGGGCAUCGCAAGAUGUCAGCGGCAGACGGGAGAGUAACACGUGGGAACGUACCCUUCGGUUCGGAAUAACCCAGGGAAACUUGGGCUAAUACCGGAUACGUCCGUAAGGAGAAAGAUUUAUCGCCGAGGGAUCGGCCCGCGUCCGAUUAGCUAGUUGGUGAGGUAAUGGCUCACCAAGGCGACGAUCGGUAGCUGGUCUGAGAGGAUGAUCAGCCUCACUGGGACUGAGACACGGCCCAGACUCCUACGGGAGGCAGCAGUGGGGAAUAUUGGACAAUGGGCGCAAGCCUGAUCCAGCCAUGCCGCGUGGGUGAUGAAGGCCCUAGGGUUGUAAAGCCCUUUCGGCGGGGAAGAUAAUGACGGUACCCGCAGAAGAAGCCCCGGCUAACUUCGUGACAGCCGCCGCGGUAAG
rnacentral:rRNA from 1 species